UCCCUUCAGCUUCUUUUUAGAGGAGUUGAUUAGUGUCUGCCAGGCACAUUACUGAGCAGAGACACCAUCCAGGUUUGAUUUUACUCCCGAUUUUAUUCAUUAGAAGCUAUCUGCAUCCUUGUUACAAGAUGAACAUAAAUGCAGUGAUCCGUUUGAUGUCAUUGCUGUCUAUCUGGAUGUGGACCGGAGAAGGUCAGCUAUUCCAGCCUGAGCUCACACCUAAUGCUUUCCUAGCCACUGUCACAAGCAAUACAGUGAUACUGAAGCAGCCGUAUUGUGUAUUUGAUCAGACGUGCCCUGGCUGUGAGAUGUGGCUGGGCUGUGCUCAGCGAACGGCGUCUUUGAUGCUCAAGUGAACAGCUCAACUCCCAACAUCCUCAGCUUGUCACCCUACCCAACAGCAUUCAACCCAUCAUCAAAGAACUUCUUUCUGACCAGAGUUGGACUGCUGUCAGAUUUCCCCUGUAAUCAGUCCUCCAGUGAUCGCUACUUCAUAGUCGGAGCUGAUGGGAAAUGUAGUGGCAUCAACUGUAAUGGAGUACUUCCUGAUAGAUUCCUGUUUGGUAGGACCUUUUAAGUGUAUUCUGCAAUGUGAAUCUAAGAAACUGUUUAACAUAAAGAUCCAAAUCUGCCAUUCUAAAACCCAUUAGGACAUUCGUAAGGUUAACAAAAGCCAAUAAAACUUUCAUUUUGAUGUCAUGUGGUCAUUAGAUAACUACAUUUAGCUCAACUACAGUGCUUAGCGAUGAUAAAACACAAUAAACAACUGCCUAAAAUGUCCACCCCCAUUAGCGAAAUUUUGCAGGCAAAAAAAGCUCAAUUGUCUAUUGUCAUUAGUGUAAUGUAUAAAUUACCACUCACACAGAAGUUACUUUUAAACUAAGUAGCUUUCUUUUGAAAUUUGCAUGACCAACUAGACCCAAUGCCAAAUUUGCAAGCCAGUAUAUUUCACCCUCACACCAAAUUCCUGAUUGCGUGGAUUUCUAUUGAAAUGAUGGGAUUUUCACCAAAACAUUAACUGAACAGUGGUAAAUGUUGACAUACUGUCAAUUACCUUUUUUUGCACACAAAAUGUUUGACUUCAAAGGUGCAAAAUGUUAGUUUUGUCACGUCAGGGGAACAAAGGAAACUCAAAGUCAAAUUAAACACAGGAACCAAGGGAUAC
rnacentral:lncRNA from 1 species